GUAGACGACGUAAAUCUAAAACCUAAACCUAAACUUCCUACUUCCUCCCUCAGCCGCACUCUCCCUCCCCAUUUUCUUAUGUCUUUCUUCCACCUUCAGUAGUCGGCCUUAAUUAAGGCCGCAAGAAAGAUAAAUAGGAACAAGAUGGUAUCCCUACUGGUUCUCUAUUUAUAGACAAAAAUUUAACGUGUUGGUUUGUCUCUUUCCGGGGUACUCAAGAAAAAUGUGCCUUUGAGAAAUUUCAAUCUCUUUUUAUGCCAAAUUUCUAGUGAGUGUGCUUCAUAUAUUCUUAGAUGCAUGAAGAUCAAGGGGGUGCGAUGAAGGUGGCAACAUGAAUCAUCAAGCAAAUACUUAUGUUCACUGCAAAAUUUUGUACAUUAUUUCUGAUCUAUAUUAUAAUCAAGCCUCACAUUGGCAAGUUUUUCCUUCAAUUUUUGAUUAUUGUACAAGGCUUAUGUAUUGCAGAUGCUAUUAACUGAUUAGUACAAAUGUGUAUUUGGAAAUUUAUUUUGUGAAACUUUUUAAAUUUU